rnacentral:SRP_RNA from 1 species
CCGUGCUAGGCGGGGAACUAGCGGUGCCCUGUACCUGCAAUCCGCUCCAGCAGGGCUGAAUCCCCUCCCGAGGCCCGCGUUCGCGGAUGCCGUCGGGGCGAUCGACGUUGAGGAUCGGGUCCCGCGCAGCGGCGACGCGCGAACCUCGUCAGGUCCGGAAGGAAGCAGCGAUAAGCGCUGCUCGCCGGGUGCCGCGGACCGGCCUGGUCCGAGCCGAUCGCCUCGCUGGGCACGCGGGCGUCCCGGUCGACGGAGGGUGCACGG